CCAAUAGCAUAUAUUAAAGUUGUUGCAGUUAAAAAGCUCGUAGUUGAAUUUCGGGACCAAUCUGCCGGUCGUGCCUCCGGUACGCACUGGUUUUAUUGGUUUCUCCCUUCUGACGAACCAUGAUGUCAUUAAUUUGGUGUCAUGGGGAAUCAGGACUGUUACUUUGAAAAAAUUAGAGUGUUUAUAGCAGGCUAACGCUUGAAUACAUUAGCAUGGAAUAAUGAAAUAGGACGUUUGACCCUAUUUUGUUGGUUUCUAGGAUCGACGGAAUGAUUAAUAGGGGUAGUUGGGGGCAUUAGUAUUCAAUUGUCAGAGGUGAAAUUCUUGGAUUUAUUGAAGACUAACUACUGCGAAAGCAUUUGCCAAGGAUGUUUUCAUUAAUCAAGAACGAAAGUUAGGGGAUCGAAGACGAUCAGAUACCGUCGUAGUCUUAACCAUAAACUAUGCCGACUAGGGAUCGGAUGAUGUUAUUUUUAAUGACUCAUUCGGCGCCUUACG
rnacentral:misc_RNA from 1 species